AAAGAAGAGAUCUCGACGACAAGGUAUUUCUGAGAAUUGAUUUGUGGUUUUCAAUGAUAGCUAUCGAUUGUUCAGAAAGUGGGUUAUUUUGUGUGCGAAUUUCAAAUCCAAAGAUUCGUUAUUUCAAAACAAAUCUGAGGUAACAAUGUUCAGAAAGAAAUUUGCUUUUGUUUGUCAAUUGAUCUGUUUUUUUAUUUGUAUGUUUUUGCACAGGAAGGUUGAAAAGGGAUUGAAAUCGCGAGCUCACGACUCGAUCUUCAAUCAUCUUUUCAUUUGUUGGACCUCCAUGGAUAGCUUCACUCUGUUCUUAUUCUUUUGACCCAGUGUUCGAAUAGAAGAGGAAGAAGAGGAGUGAUAGAUUUGAG